UCGGUCUAGACCAUAUCUAGACUUGUUAGCAGUGAAGUUGUGGAAACAGCUACAUCCACUUAAUUUCGUUGAAAACCGUUAAUCGUCUAACGGAACGUCGUCGGAGGUGACCUUGGUUUCACCUAGUCUACAUUGGACAGUUGGUCUAGUGAAGCAGAGUACAACAGCAAACUUCGUCGUACUACCAGAGUAGCAGCAGAAGCAGUGAACUAUUUUAGAAAGCCGUUAUUCGUCAGCCCAGAUCAAGUCAUCGUCAAGAAAGUCGUUAUUCGUCAGCCCAGAUCAAGUCAUCGUCAAGAAAGUCGUUAUUCGUCAGCCCAGAUCAAGUCAUCGUCAAGAAAUUCGUUAUUCGUCAGUCGUCCAGAUCAAGUUGCCGUCAAGAGACUGUUAUUUGUCAGUAGUCGUCUACACAAGUCAAGUCAUCGCCAGAAGAACCGUUAACCUAUUCGUCAGUAACUGUGUACACAAAGUCGUCGGAACUACACAUACGGUCAUCAACAGUCACCGAAGGAACCGAAACAUUUUACUGUGGCAUAUCAGGACAUCUGUGGCAUUACGUGGGAUACUAGUAGCACCGGAGAACAGAGUCAGAACUGGAAGAGAGGCAGUGGAAUUUGUUGUGAUCUAGCAUAUUCGGGAGUCCGAACAAAGGGAUCUUUCUUAUCAAAAGCUAAGUGCCAUUUUUCUUAUUAGUAUAUGUUUAGAUUGCCCUUAGAAAUAGAUUUUGUCUAAAUUUGGUACGUUAGCCUGAGUAAAAUCAGGUGGUGCGCCUUAAAACCCGUCGGGGUAGAAGACGUAAUUUAGAUGAAAAGCUAUAUUAUACGUUUAGGGUUGUAAUUUGUUUUGUUUGUGUAAACGUCAUAUCCGUUGUUGCCUGGUUACUUCGUGACGUUAUCAUUGUGUGCCAUAUUGUCAUAUCCCAACCCAUAGCGAUAGUCUCAUUUUAAUUAUUUCAUUUGUUUAUAUUAUUUUAAAUUAUUUAUUUUUAUUAAUUUAAUUAGAUCUGUAUUUUUUUUUCACUUAAUGAUAGAAAGUGCGGGUAGGAUUCUUUCAUUGUGAAUCAGACUAAAAUAAUUUUAGUUUGAGCGGUUAAAAUCAAAUAUGAUUUUGCCAUGAGAAUAAUGCCGAAACUGGCUAUGUAGUCAAACACUAUCGUCUGGCUAAAUUUAGAUCUGCAAAUUGUUGUACAUCUCUUUGGUACAAUUUAAUUAUCUAGACUCUAAUUUGAAAUAUUAUUAAGUUGAAGAUGAAUGAAGAUUACUGCCAGUGAAGAACAUUUGAGAUGUGUAGGACAUGCCCAUAAGAUGCCACAUUUUCCUCCAUGAUGAACGGUGUACCAAUGAAGAUGAUUUUGGAAUGUUAUGAACUGUUAUGAACAUUGAAUAUGAGGAACUGUCAAGAUGAAGAUGUCAAGAUGAAGAUGUCAAGAUUUUAUGUUUGUGGUCUUCCCCUUAAAUUGAAAAUGUCCUUGUAAGACUUGACAGUAGUGGAAAAAUAUUGACAUAUUUUUUUUUUUCAAGGGGGGGAGGAAUCUGUUAGACACCUUAUUUAUAUAGGUUAGUUAUUUUAGUUAUUUAGCGACGCACCAUAGUAGACGCAUAUUGAACGGGACUAGUGACGUUUGGGAUAUGUUGGGUUAGAGACCGGAAAAUCAGUUAGCGAUAGAACAAUCCAGGGUAACGACGUGUUUAGUGACAGAGACUUCUACUGUGGCCUUUUAUCAUAAUAAAUAUAUAUUAACUUGUU